rnacentral:lncRNA from 1 species
UAAAAUUUAGUUCUGAUUGCGGCUCCGGUGGUAGCAACCACCUAAAAAGACUAGCCCCUCGAACCCGCCAUAUCAACGGCAAAUUCGACAGAAGCUUCGUCGUCAACAGCACCAGUGGCAGAGGAGACAAGUAAAAACCAGAGAUAAGGAGAUGGCUCACUCCACGUAAAGCCCAGCAGUCGACAUUUUCCCUCCUCCCCCUCUCUAGCAGACGAAUUCGACUGCGCUGCUCCUUUCGGCCAGCUCCGGAAGCAUUUGACGGCUGAGGACCACUGGAGGACUGGUUUUACGUUUUGAAACGCAAAUAUAUUCGUAUUUCUUAUUUAUUUAGUUCCGUUCAGUGCACUUUAGUGAUUGAAUUGAUGAAUUGAAAAGAAACAAAGAUGAAAAUUAUGUUUCUACUGAUUCAUAAACAAGUAAAAGAAAGGAAUCUGAAUUUAAGAUAUCUGAGUACAAUUAGUUGGAUUAAUUCAUGAACACUUUCAACAGAAAACUUUUUAACAAUGAGUUUAGAUAACUUUUCUACAACAACGGAAUGAAAAAAUGUUUCAGCUGUGUAAAUCAAGGUCUGGACUUAGAGGAUCAUCACACGAGUUAAACAAGGAAUUUCUUCUGGCAUUGGUUGUUGAAGUGGUCUUUCAACUGACUAGCAUGGAAUUCCUCAUCAGAACAUAUUACUUCAAUAUCCAUCAUGAUAUCCUGAUCAACUGUGAGUUCGUUAACAUCAGAUACAUUAUCUACUGGCAUAAGGGAACAAUUGGAUGACAGUGAAGGGAGUAUUUGGAUUAUUAUUCAAUCCACAACGAAGUCGAAUGAUCCCAAAAAAGUGUUCCAAUGGGUCCUGCUGCAUGUGCCUGGUGGCUACAUAACUCAAUGGGUUGUUCUGCCGAUGAAGAAGCUGGUGGGCUAGAGUUAUAGUUGAUCGUAUCGUUGCGAUAAGUCCAAUAAUACAGGUUUUCCUUCUACUUGUGUAGAAUAAUCUGCCACUUGGAAGUUUUAGUUUAGUUAAAAAGAGCGCUAACUCAUUAAGCUCUUUAGUCUUCUCCUCUAGGUUUUCUUUGGUAAGAACCGCUUUGUCACCAUUUGCUUGAACAUUCCAUGAGUUCAGGAUAUCUAAAAGCUUAUUGAAUUGCCAACAAAACUGUUCGGUGGCCUCACUUCCUUGAAACUAUGUUACCUGAGGAACUUUUAGUACUUCUCGUAAAUGUCGGAGCGGUUCUGCCACGGAUCUACUCAAAACUUAAGCAGCGAGAGCCACCUUCAUCUUAUGUCGCUCGAAGUAUGCGUGUUGUCUUGUAAGUCGAUUACCGAGACGAAAUCCAGCCUCAUUUUGGAAUUGAAAGAGAGCCUUGAUGUACUUCCACUGUGCUGGAUCUUGAUAUCCAGGUAACUUCACCGGUGAAAAAGACAGAAGAUUCCUUGCCAACUUCAGCAUGUGGCACGCAUCAAGUAAAACAUUAACUGGUUCUCCGGUAGAAGGAUGCACGAAGUUUGGUUUAAACGGGCAAGUCAAUUUUUUUUUUCAAAGUCGCAGCUCAUCUUCCUGUCCUUGCUGUUUUCGUUGGCAUUGAUGACGACGAGUAUUUCAGAUUAUUGCGCCUAACUCAGUUGUCAUUUUAACGUUCGCCGCUAACUCAUCGAAUACCACGGAUCUGACAAUAAUCCCAAAUUCGUGUGUCGCCUUGAGUACGUCCUUAAGCAGUCCACCCAAGCGUGUUCCGUCGAUAUGGUUCGUAAAAUAUCAAUCUAUCAAUCAAUAUCAAGCUAUAGUUGUUUCUGUCCAGCGAGCCCCUAGUAAUUUCUCAUAAUUCUGAAUUUGAUCCAUAAAAAAAAUCUCAGCUUUCCCGCCAAUAAAAAACAAAGAAAACAAACAAAAUUAGGUAAAAAUCAUAAAUUUAAAAACAAAAAGUAAAAGCAGGCAGUGACAGUAGCCAUUGAAAUGCAUGCUGCACUUGGAACAGAUGGCUUCAUCAACGUAGGAAGUACAGUUACAUUUAUGAAAGACAACAUCGCUGGAUUAGCUUGCACGAUGUUAGUAGUGUUAAAGAGCAUCAACUGUAUCGCUUACCCAACAAAAUUCCCUAUUAUUCUCCGCUUGACGAGCGACUACAUUUCUUGGAAUCCGACUUCAGUUACAUGAAUGGCAACAAGAAAUCGAAAAUCUUAUUAAAUCAAUGCCUGACAACAACCAGGCGGAAAAAGAUGCUAUAAAGAAAACGAAAAAGAAGUUUCUGGUGCAUGAAACAUAAGAAGUCCUAACUUAUACUACUAUAUCAGCAGUUGCUUGCAUCCGCUAUUUGUUAGAAGAAUUGGGAUUCAAGUAUAUGUACUUACCAGAAGAUUCUCCAGUGACCCCAAUGAACAGUUGUUUGGGGCUAUUCGUCAGUUGAUUAGGGGCAACUUUAAAGGAGAUGCGACGGCUGUUUCUCAUGCGUUUGAAAAGAUAUUUGGGACGGGAAUAGCCUAUAACUCAAUUUACUACAAUACCACAUUGUCUCGCGAAUCUAAAAAGGGUACAAAUUAAUACGCUACUCAGAGAAAUCAAAAAUUGAAAUAGUAAAAGCUUUGCGUUUGUUACCACCGUCGAGUCUCCUUAUACUGAAUGAUCUUAA